rnacentral:rRNA from 1 species
AGAGUUUGAUCCUGGCUCAGAUUGAACGCUGGCGGCAUGCCUUACACAUGCAAGUCGAACGGCAGCGGGGGAGCAGUCCUGGCGGCGAGUGGCGAACGGGUGAGUAAUAUAUCGGAACGUGCCCUGGAGUGGGGGAUAACUAGUCGAAAGACUAGCUAAUACCGCAUACGAUCUACGGAUGAAAGUGGGGGAUCGCAAGACCUCAUGCUCGUGGAGCGGCCGAUAUCUGAUUAGCUAGUUGGUGGGGUAAAAGCCUACCAAGGCGACGAUCAGUAGCUGGUCUGAGAGGACGACCAGCCACACUGGGACUGAGACACGGCCCAGACUCCUACGGGAGGCAGCAGUGGGGAAUUUUGGACAAUGGGGGCAACCCUGAUCCAGCAAUGCCGCGUGUGUGAAGAAGGCCUUCGGGUUGUAAAGCACUUUUGUCAGGAACGAAACGGUCGGGGCUAAUAUCCUUGGCUAAUGACGGUACCUGAAGAAUAAGCACCGGCUAACUACGUGCCAGCAGCCGCGGUA